UACGUAGGGUGCGAGCGUUAAUCGGAAUUACUGGGCGUAAAGCGUGCGCAGGCGGAAUUGUAAGUCCGUUGUAAAAUUCAGAGGCUCAACCUCUGUCUGUCGGCGGAUACUGCAAAUCUAGAGUAUGUGAGAGGGAAGUGGAAUUCCUGGUGUAGCGGUGAAAUGCGUAGAGAUGUGGAGGAACACCAGUGGCGCAGGCGGCUUCCUGGCACAAUACUGACGCUCAUGUGCGAAAGCUGGGGCAGCGAA
rnacentral:rRNA from 1 species